UUUGAUAUUUCGCGAGUCUACCACACCAU
rnacentral:sRNA from 1 species